rnacentral:rRNA from 1 species
UACAGAGGGUGCGAGCGUUAAUCGGAAUUACUGGGCGUAAAGGGCGCGUAGGCGGCCAGCACAAGUCAGUUGUGAAAUCUCCGAGCUUAACUCGGAAAGGUCAACUGAUACUGUGCGGCUAGAGUGCGGAAGGGGCAACUGGAAUUCUUGGUGUAGCGGUGAAAUGCGUAGAUAUCAAGAGGAACACCUGCGGCGAAGGCGGGUUGCUGGGCCGACACUGACGCUGAUGCGCGAAAGCCAGGGGAGCGAACGGG